rnacentral:rRNA from 1 species
UGAGGAAUAUUGGACAAUGGGUGCAAGCCUGAUCCAGCAAUGCCGCGUGCAGGAUGAAGGCCUUCGGGUUGUAAACUGCUUUUGUACGGAACGAAACGGUCUGCCCUAAUACGGUGGGCUAAUGACGGUACCGUAAGAAUAAGCACCGGCUAACUACGUGCCAGCAGCCGCGGUAAUACGUAGGGUGCGAGCGUUAAUCGGAAUUACUGGGCGUAAAGCGUGCGCAGGCGGUUAUAUAAGACAGAUGUGAAAUCCCCGGGCUCAACCUGGGACCUGCAUUUGUGACUGUAUAGCUAGAGUACGGUAGAGGGGGAUGGAAUUCCGCGUGUAGCAGUGAAAUGCGUAGAUAUGCGGAGGAACACCGAUGGCGAAGGCAAUCCCCUGGACCUGUACUGACGCUCAUGCACGAAAGCGUGGGGAGCAAACAGGAUUAGAUACCCAAGUAGUCCCUGAGCGGGCUGGCAAGGCGCAU